AUACGUAGGGGGCGAGCGUUGUCCGGAUUUAUUGGGCGUAAAGGGUGCGCAGGCGGCCAUUUAAGUCAGCGGUUAAAUCGUGGGGCUCAACCCCAUUCUGCCGUUGAUACUGGGUGGCUUGAUUGCGGUCGAGGUUGGCGGAAUUCGUUGUGUAGCGGUGAAAUGCAUAGAUAUGACGAAGAACACCGAUUGCGUAGGCAGCUGACCAGACCGCAAAUGACGCUCAUGCACGAAAGUGCGGGGAUCGAACAGGAUUAGAUACCCUGGUAGUCCGCACAGUAAACGAUGAAUACUUGUUUUCGGCGAUAUAAUGUCGGAGGCAAAGCGAAAGCGAUAAGUAUUCCACCUGGGGAGUACGCCGGCAACGGUGAAACUCAAAGGAAUUGACGGGG
rnacentral:rRNA from 1 species